CCAGGACUGAGACACCAAAACUGCCGGGAAACAGCUGUGGCCUGGAAGAGCAUGCUGGCUAUCAGCGUACAGAUAAGCAUCUUGUUUCAGAUGUAUCCUAUCCAUGAGACUUCAAUGUAUUUUCAUUAUGGGAUGUUAAAAAAGUCUGUCGUCUUGUUACCAAUAGCAUCAGGGACAAAAAAUAAGUCUGACAGAAGGUUCUAAAAUUAUUAAAAACCCCAUUUUUAAUUCAUUUUAACUCAUAAAUUAACUAAUUUACCUGUAAAUUCUCAGAAAAUUAAUUCAGUACCCAAAGAGUAAGUGCUUGAGGGGGAUGCACUGUAUUCUUCAUAUAAAACAAAGGGGUUGAAUCUCUGUGUCAAGAGCAAAACUCAUCCUUAACCACAGACGUGACUGGCAAUUCCACAUUAGAGGAGUCCUGCCUCCUCAAGUAGAAGGAACGAGGACCCUCCUAGCUAUUUUAAAAACAGGGAUAAAAUCUAAUCACUUGGGACUUUUUGACAGGUUCAGAGCAUUCAAAUAACUCAACACAAAGCAAUUGCUGCUAUACCGUUGAAUGGGUUCUCACCUCUGAAAAGAUUCUUCUACUUCCCUUUCAGCCUAGAUUUAGUUUCAAGUAGCAUCUUGGGUGCUGUAGAUCAUCUGCUUCACAUGACAUUUAAGAAAACUGAUGUAGCCCAGGGGUCCCGCUUUUCACAGCCCCACACCCUUUUUACUUGUUAAAAUUCCUUGCUGCUAACUCAGUAGCAGAUGAGCCCUUCAGUCCCCAGGAGCAUCAGCUCUGACUGAAACUGGUUAGGUCAGACAUGUUUCCCAGAUGAAUUUGUAGAUGCACACAGGAGUUGGUUGCUUCCUGACGAGGGAGGAAAAAAUUGGUUCCUAUUAGUUGCCCAACCACAGGUAUGUGCAAGAGUCUGCAGCCAGCUGACUGCUGAACUCUUACAAAGAUGACAGCCGGCCUCCACGUCCAUCUCUAACUCGGUUGGAAAGAUUGCCUAGAUUGUCAGGAUGAACAAGCCACUGAGACUGACAACUGCCCUGUAUUCUAAGUAUCGCCAAUGGGACUCCAGUAUCAUUUCUUUUAAUAAAAAAAAAAAAAACUUUGCCACAGCAUUAAAUAUGAAAAAGGAAACUAACUCUUCCCAUGACUUAUUGCAAGGGAAUAGGACAUGAGCCAGACGCUUUCUUACCUGUUCUUUUCAUGUCUCACUGCUAGCUCAGAAUUGUUCCCUACAGUUAUGUUCCCAUUUGCUUUGCACUCUUGUUUUACAUGAUCCACAACUUCCUUGGGAGACUAUUCCACAGCCUCAUUGAUUUCACUGUUAGGAAACUUUGACUAAUAAUCAGCCUAAAUUUUCCUUUUAAAAAAAAAAAAUGUAAUCCUUGGCCCUAUUUUGUCAUUCUUUAUACUGUGCCACGAGAGUCUUCUCUUACCUUUGGUCAAGUAGCUGUCAACUAUUAUGUUUCUGCUUAGUCAAACUAUAUAUAGAGAGAGCUCAGUGCUGCUGCUGUUGAAAUCUCUGUCAAAACUCCCAGUAAUGUCAGUAGGAGUUGGACUAGGCCCUUAAUUUUUACAUAUAUUUCCUCAUAAGUCAAUCAAUCCAGCCCCUACAUGUUGCUUUUUUUUCUCGUUAUCCUCCAAUGUGUGUGUCUCUCUGUCAGGUGCCGAGGUUCCCAGAGCUGCGUGCAAUAUUCUAAAAGCAACCUCACCAGAACCAGUGAAAAAGGGACUGUCUGACCCACCUAGGAUGUGCUACCUCUGCACGGGAGUUGGGGACAGGUGCUAGCAGGCCUGGCACUCCUACAACAAGGAUUGCUCACCAACACGGCAUCAGGAGGUGAAUGCAUUUUCUUCCCUUCCUGCCCCGACCUGUCCAAGUAUGUGUCAGGUUAGUGGGAGCAGAUCCUGGGCUGGAGGGAAGUGAGAACACGCGGAGAGACCAGUGCUGAGUGCAACAUUUCUGGCAGCCAGAACCGGAUGGCCUGAGUUGCCAUCUCACCUUGUCUGUCAGUGGGGAGGAGAAGAGGGCAAGAGAAAGCUUCCCCUGGUCUGCAAGAAGGAGAAAUAAAUCCUUGGUCCUUUAGAGGGAAGGACCAGGCAGGACAAAAGCUCCCCGCUGCCCUGGCUCCUGCUCCCCAUCCCGUAGCCAUCAAAGGGUUACAAAAACUGCUUUGCUCCCGUGUGUCUCCAUGGACAAGAAUCCCGGGGGAGGAGGAGAAGAAGGUGGAUGGAGCAGGGAGUGAGAUGCAUUGUGGGGUUAGAAGGAGAAAGCAUGAAUGACGCUCCCUGUCAUGUUCCUCAGUAACUGGACUCUGGAAUAACACUCUGAAUGAUUUUGUUGCCCUUACUUGCCUGCAGUGGUCCCGCUCCUUCAGUCACUUUCCCUGCAGAUCAGCUAGCAAGAGGAAUGCUUGAUGAUAAGCAAAAAAUACUCUGCUGGUUAGAAAAAUUAUUAACACAAUGAAAUAAAGAGAUUAAUAGAGCUACUGAAAAAGCAAAGUAUGGGGAGGAGGUGAAUGAGAUAAUCAGCUGCAGGGAAGGACAAAAGGAUUCUAAUUCUGCGUCUGGACUUGAUCUUGUCUGCGGUUUUGCUGCUGCUUUUUCAGCCCCAAAUUUCAUUGCAGCAGAGGGAUCUAGUAGACUGGGCACAUGCCUGGAGGCCAAGAACCUCCCAAAUUCUAAUCCCAGUUCUGCAAUCAACUGUGUGGCCUUGGACAAGUCACUUUGACCCUGCUUCAACAGCACACUUAAGCAUGUGCAUGCUUUUAAGCAUGUACUUUAAUGUUUUGCUGCCCAGGGAUGGACUUUAACAUGUGCUUAAAGUUAAGCAUCUGCUGAUCUGCCUUGCUUAACUGAGGCCUUAAUCUCUCUGCCUCAGUUCCACCACCCUUAAAAUGGGGACAAUACCAAUUCCAGAAGUGUCAUGAGAAUUCAUUAAAAUGUUCAAAUGCAGUGAAGAUCGGGUAAGGAUUUGAAUAGCUUGUCUUGGCAGUUCAAUUUUUAUGCCUAACAAUCUAGGCAACAUCCCUUUCUAUUUGCUCCUUUCCCCCCUCUUUUGGUAGGCAAAAACGUGUUCCUGCCUCUUGUAUGCAAUGCUUUGCACAGGCAAUUGGGGGUGAGAGGAAUAAACUUUAGCCCAUUACACUGUUCCAAUCUGACUUGGGAAAAAAAGUCUGUAAGAUGCAAUAUUAGCAAGAUCUGGAAAGAAAAUGUCAGGAGGAGAGAAGGCACGGGGCCUUGCUACCCAGCUCAGUGGAGACAAAAGCAAAGCACUUCAUCAUUUGCUAGGGUUCCACAAGAACAAUGGCCAAACUGGGUGUCUGAUUAGGAAAGGCAGAUUACAAUAGCCUUAUUGACAAUUAUUAGUGUAGAUGACAGAUAAAAGCAGCACCUUGGCAGGUCAUCAUUAAUUAUCCAUGUACAUUUAUGUAGCAAGCUUGAAAAAGGGUUUGAUGCUCUGGACUGUAUGUUGUCACCAUAGAAAUGUAGGCUGGUGUUUCCAAAGGAACCUAAGGGAAUUAAGCACCCACUCCCACUGAGAUGUCAUUGAAAGACCAACUGUACCGAACUUCCCUUUGAAACUUCAGCUGCGGUGUUCAUCGCUCAAUGACUUGGCAGAGUGCAGCUGUUGUACAAAGUACAGGGGCUAACACUGAACAUCGGGUCUGUGAGAGAAACUCUGAGCCGAGUCUUGCUUUUCUUCUUCUCCCUUCUUGUUAUUGUGGCUAAACUCCUUGUACAAUUUCAGAGACUAAGUUCCUGUCCCUGUCUUUAGGGAAGAAUAAUAGUGGGGGAAGGGUGCAGGGGGAAAGGAGAGUCCAUCCCUGAACUGAGAAUUAGUCACUGGGAACGAGAUAAUCUUUAUUAGCCUCUCCAGCAAAGCUGUGUCAUAGCUAACUGGGAUUAGCAACUCAUAAGGAUGCAAGGGAAAACCUGACCUCAGGACAGUUCUGAUGUCAGAGUCAGCCAAUAUACUGUAUGUGGGUAAUAAAGAAUAAUGAACAAGCAAAGGGAUAGUGUGCUAUUUCUGCAGCCUUAGCACUACAAGUGGUGAGUCUAGCCAGUCACAAGCUAAGCAGGCUUGGUCACUGCUUGGAUGGAGAUCUCCAAGCGAAAAUCCAGGAUGCUACAGAAAGUGGUGUCAGUGGCCCCACAAAGAGGCGAUAUUCCCCCUAAGUCAGUACUGAACGAGUGCCCAAGGGUAGAGUUAGGGAGCAAUUGUGGUGCUGCCUUUCAGGGAAUGUCUACACUGCAGUCACGGGGUGUAACUGUACCUUGCGUGUACCUGACCUAGCUGUACUCCAGCUAGAUUGUGUCCUAGAGCAGUGAUGCUGUGGCAGCAUGUGCUUCCGCACAGGCUAGUCCUGUGGGUAAUUACCCAGAGUUCCCAGUGGGCUUGUACAGUCAGAUUGUGAGCCACCAAGGUGGCACAGUUGUGCAGUAACACAGCUGCAAAUGCCCCAGAGAGAAUUCCCCUGGCGUAAGGGAAGUCCCUGAGUCAUCUAUGCCACUUCCAGGACCUGCGCCUCUGGCCCCUCCUCCCUCAGCACCGGGGCUAGAGAAGGGGGAUAGCAGAGCUCCUCUCCACCAACCCUCCCCUGGUGUAACUUAGAGCUGCCUGGCAGCAGCUCUACACAGAGUCAGGGGCAGGGCUGGGCCUUGGAAUUUGGGGCACACCCUUUAUUUCCACCUCUCUGGUACAGAGACAGCAAAUGCGCCCCUUAAACUAAAUAGACAGGCCAGAAAUCAAGUGUCUUCCGAAUUAGCCACACUAUUGCACUCUAGGUGGCUGAGAUUGUUUUCUUUGCAGGAGGCAUUAAUAAGGUGUUAGGUUCCUGGCUCUGUCACUCACUGUAUGAACUGGGACCUCAGCGUCACCAUUGGCUCAAUGGGGGAUAAUGAUACUUUCCUACCUCACGGGGUAUUUGUGAGGCUUGCUGGCUUAAUGUCAGUCAAGCAUUCUGAGAUUCUUAUAUGAAAAGUGCUCUAGAGGCAGACACUACAGUGUCCUCCUGAUGCUAGCUGUGUAUCUUAUGCUUGUCCAAGCUGCCCAGAUUGCCUGUGUGUCUGGAAAGUAUUGCAGGUCACUUUUAAUUUCAGCUGCAUUUAAAAUGAGGGAGUGAAAUCAAUCUUGGCCUAGUAGAAAUAGACAAAGGGAGGUAGAGGAAUUGUAUUCCCAAACUCGGGAGAAAGCAUUUCACCGAGGAGUUUAGGGAAGAGUGUGGGGAACCCCACAAACAAAUAGUGUCCCUGUAUGGCACUUGAGCUGUAGUGUUUCCAUUCUCCAUCUUGAUGUCAGUCACCCAGUUAAUCAAUCAGCUUAUAGUUUGAUUCAUGGUCUCAUUCCAACAUGAGCUCUGCUGCUCCUGCACAGAGCACAAAGAUAACUCUGAACCUGGAGUACUGCCAGAGAUGCCGAAUUUACUGAGUCAUUAAUUAGGUAAAUAUGACAGGAAGUCAUAGAAAGUGUAAGGUAUUCGAAAAGCCAGCGAGGCAUCACUUCGUACCCUUGGCAUAGGUACUUCCCAUUUGUAGUCCCCUGCACGGCACACACAGCAUGGAAGGUGCUUAUUAGGCAGGAUAUUUAAUUAAGCAAAUCUAUAUUUAUCAAGAUUGCAUAACACACGCAGAUCGAAAGUCAAAUACCCAGAAAUUGGGAAAAUUUUAGUUUUGCGUGUUGAAUCAGCACAGUGGAGAAUUUAAACAGGGGUUUAGCUUCCAGAAGGACAUUGCCUAGCUCAGAGAGCAGGGGACUAGAUGUCAAGACAACUCUGUGUCCUAGUCUCACCUCUGGUACUGGAACCUGGGGCCAUGGAGAGGUCACUUAGGUGCUCAGCAUCUCAGAAAAAUGAGGCUCUAAACUUCUCUGGGCCUUAUUCUGCCCAUCUAUAAAUUGAGGCUAACAAGUCUCUUACAUGAAUGUUGUGAAGUUUGCUCAAUGGGCUUUCAGGAGGCCUUCCUAGGCACCUAUUGAGCUCUGUCGCUCUGCCAUUGUUUGCCCGCGAUCUGUACUAUACGGUCUCAUCCAGCACCUGCUGAAGUCAGUGGGACUCUUUCCAUUCACUUCUGUAGGCAUCAGAUCAGGCCCUCGUUGCUGUUCCUAGGUCUCCAUCAACACAGCACCUGAGUAAGGUAGCCUGGAUUUUCAGUGAUUUCUGGGCUGCGGAGGGCGCUCAGCGCCUGCCAGACUUGGACUGUGCUCCGUGCUGCCGCGACCCUGCUUUGCACAGCUCCCUCUGUGCACUACAACUGACCUGUCAGGUCCGAUCCUGCGAGGCUUUACAUGCCCCUCCUUUUCCCUGGACGUCCACAGGCUACGAGGCUGCUCAGCAUCUCACGGGAUCGGGCCUGCCAGACCUGAGCCUUUUUCACUGACUUCCAUGGGCGCAGGGUUGGUCCCAGAGUGAUGAAAGAAAAUGCUUGACUCCCAAACAGGUGCAGAAGCUGUUCUGUAGGGUGCAUGUUUCUUGGGCAAUGUGAUUUAUUCUGAGGAAGGGCUGUUCUUGGCAGCAUUCUCACUGCAAAUUUUCUCUUUCCUCUCCGUUCUCUCUGUAGAUAACUCAGUUGUCUCCUCCUCCCUCCACGCUUUCCUAGCACGAGGCAUGGUCCUUUCCCGCAAAAGCUGCUGAAAUUGCUUUUUAUUUUUAAACCCCUGAGCUACAGAAGAGCCACCUUUAUCGUUCGCCUGUGGACUCUGCAGCUUUGUGUCUCUGACAGACGCAACUGCAGAUUGUCGAAAGGGAGGUGACACGCGUGAGGGAAGAGGGAGAAGUGGCUGCACAAUGGACACACAGCUGGCCCCGUUCCCAUCUACAGUAGCAUGUGAAUUCCAAGAGGCUGCUUCACCCCUUAUGGGGGUGUCUGUCCUGAGCAACAAGAAUUACCAGCCUGUUCUUCUCCCCUGCAAAGGGGUGAGGGGAAGGGAAUACGUUCUCACCAGAGCCCUGUGGUAACAGGCAGGUUUUCUCCUAAUACUGUACUUUAAUAAAAUUCCUGCAGGGAAAAGAGAUUACAGGCUAUGCAAUAUUAUUUGCUAUUUCUAGGCUGUAUUUCAAUAAUCCCCCUUUUUAAUAUUGCAGCCUACACACUGACGCAGUUCUUUCACGCUCACAGGCCCCCUUCCUUUCGUCAGCGUUGGUGCGAGGAGAUGCCUGCGAGAAAUGAGUUCUGAUGAACGGUUGGAUCCAGAACCAAGCUUGCCCCAAGGAAAAUACAGAAAAGCUUGAAAACCAACUCAGCAAACCAGUGAUGCUUUUUCUCAGUCAGCUGGGAUGCAAGUUUUCUAGGCACUGGCCCCGGAACCAUGGUCACUCUGCAAGUUACUCAUCUAAUGGCUGCUCUGGGUGUAUACGAAGUGAACUGGAAAAGCCUGCCUGGAUAUCUAGUUGUUGGCUUUCGGGGGUUGCGUAUGUGAAUACAUGACCCCAUAAAAACUCUCCUUGGGGACAUGUCUCUGAGGGGUUCUGGAAAAUUAUUGAAAAGCUGCCACUGGUAUGAUUUUGUGGCUAGCCCUUCUCCUCUCUCGCCACACCCUUCUCCCCUGCUGUGAAAAGCUCAUUCAUGGCUCCUCCUCUUCCUUCUCCUUCCCAUUUCAACCUUAAAAUUCUUUUCUCUUAUUUUUUUGUUAGAACCUGGAGUUUUCAUCCCGUUGUUUUGUUUCUGUGUUGAUUUUGCACAGCCCCAGAGAAAUACGUUUGGAGUGGCACCUGUCUCCUGCUGAUCAGCUCAGGAUGUUGCAACGCUUGGCCCUAGUGGUUUGGAUCAGAAAACUUGAGAGCUGAAUUAGUUUGCUUCCCCACUGGGCGUGACAACGGCAGUGCCUGGAGAGGCCAGAAACACAUUUCCUGGGCAGGUCUGAUAUUUGCAGGGAGGAGAUUUGUUGUUACAUUUUUUUUAAAGGACUCGUUAAAAAAUAAAUCAAUCUUUCUGCUUCAAAAUUGA